GGGCCAUUAGCUUAGUCAGGUUAGAGCAAUCGACUUAUAAUCGAUGGUCACCGGUUCAAAUCCGGUAUGGCCCA
rnacentral:tRNA from 1 species